CUUGACACUGAACAUUGAGCCUUGAUGUGUAGGAUAGGUGGGAGGCUUUGAAGCGUGGACGCCAGUCUGCGUGGAGCCAACCUUGAAAUACCACCCUUUAAUGUUUGAUGUUCUAACGUUGGCCCCUUAUCGGGGUUGCGGACAGUGUCUGGUGGGUAGUUUGACUGGGGCGGUCUCCUCCCAAAGCGUAACGGAGGAGCACGAAGGUUAGCUAAUCCUGGUCGGACAUCAGGAGGUUAGUGCAAUGGCAUAAGC
rnacentral:rRNA from 1 species